AGGUUAAAUCACUCCUGCCCCUCAUCAUAGAUUUGUUUUUAGUAUUACGAGGCACUGUUUUUUUGCGAGCACCAAACCCCCGGGAGUUCAAUGUUAAAACUAGGUAGCAAAUCCAAAUUGUACUUUUUCCAAAACACACCUUGUAAUUUAGCCAUGCAAAUCUCCUUAAAAACAAUAUUGUGGAAAUGCCUAAAGCAUCCUU